CCCGAAGGCCGGGGCGCCAAGUUCGUCCAGCGGAAAAAGGCCACAAAAACGGGUGGGCUAUAGCCUUGGGGGGUGGGGCUGGCCAACUUCGUCCGCCGGACUCGGAAUGGCGCGAGACUUUGCGAGGGGCCUCCGCGUGCCAAAAAUAGGCCGCGGGCUAAGCGUCGCCCAAAAAUAACCGCCCGAAGGCCGGGGCGCCAAGUUCGUCCAGCGGUAAAAGUCCACAAAAACGGGUGGGCUAUAGCCUUGGGGGUUGGGGCUGGUCAACUUCGUCCGCCGGACUCGGAAUGCCGCGAGACUUUUCGAGGGGCCUCCAUGUGCCAAAAAUAGACCGCGGACAAAGCCACGCCCAAAAAUAACCGCCCGAAGGCCGGGGCGCCAAGUUCGUCCAGCGGAAAAAGGCCACAAAAACGGGUGGGCUAUAGCCUUGAGGGGUGGGGCUGGCCAACUACAUCCGCCGGAUUCGGAAUGGCACGAGACUUUGCGAGGUGACUCCGUGUGCAAAAAAUAGGCCGCGGGCAAAGCCUCGCCCAAAAAAUAACCGCCCGAAGGCCGGGGCGCCGAGUUCGUCCAGCGGAAAAAGGCCACAAAAACGGGUGGGCUAUAGCCUUGGGGGGUGGGGCUGGCCAACUUUGUCCGCUGGACUCGGAAUGGCGUGAGACUUUGUGAGGGGCCUCCGUGUGCCAAAAAUAGGCUGUGGGCAAAGCCGCGCCCAAAAAUAACUGCCCGAAGGCCGGGGCGCCAAGUUCGUCCACCGGAAAAAGGCCACAAAAAUGGGUGGGCUAUAGCCUUGGGGGGUGGGGCUGGCCAACUUCAUCCGCCGGACUCGGAAUGCCGCGAGACUUUGCGAGGGGCCUCCGUGUGCCAAAAAUAGGCCGCCGGCAAAGCCGCACCCAAAAAUAACCGCCCGAAGGCCGGGGCGCCGAGUUCGUCCAGCGGAAAAAGGCCACAAAAACGGGUGGGCUAUAACCUUGGGGGGUGGGGCUGGCUAACUUCGUCCGCCGGACUCGGAAUGCCGCGAGACUUUACGAGGGGCCUCCAUGUGCCAAAAAUAGGCCGCGGACAAAGCCACGCCAAAAAAUAACCGCCCGAAGGCCGGGGCGGCAAGUUCGUCCAGCGGAAAAAGGCCACAAAAACGGCUGGGCUAUAGCCUUGAGGGGUGGGGCUGGCCAACUUCAUCCGCCGGAUUCGGAAUGGCACGAGACUUUGCGAGGUGACUCCGUGUGGAAAAAAUAGGCCGCGGACGAAGCCUCACCCAAAAAUAACCACCCGAAGGCCGGGGCGCCAAGUUCGUCCAGCGGAAAAAGGCCACAAAAACGGGUGGGCUAUAGCCUUGGGGAGUGGGACUGGCCCACUUCGUCCGCCGGACUCGAAAUGCCGUGAGACAUUGCGAGGGGCCUCCGUGUGCCAAAAAUAGGCUGCGGGCAAAGCCGCGCCCAAAAAUAACUGCCCGAAGGUCGGGGCGCCAAGUUCGUCCAGCGGAAAAAGGCCACAAAAACGGGUGGGCUAUAGCCUUGGGGGGUGGGGCUGGCCCACUUCGUCCGCCGGGCUCGGAAUGCCGCGAGACUUUGCAAUGGGCCUCCAUGUGCCAAAAAUAGGCCGCGGGCAAAGCCGCGCCCAAAAAUAACUGCCCGAAGGCCGGGGCGCCAAGUUCGUCCAGCGGAAAAAGGCCACAAAAACGGGUGGGCUAUAGCCUUGGGGGGUGGGGCUGGUCAACUUCGUCCGCCGGACUCGGAAUGCCGCGAGACAUUGCGAGGGGCCUCCGUGUGCCAAAA
rnacentral:lncRNA from 1 species